CCCCGUUUAGCCCCGCCUCCUCAUCAGUCUCCCCGUGUAGCUCCACCUCCUCAUCAGUCUCCCUGUGUAGCCCCGCCUCCUCAUCAGUUUCCCCGUGUAGCCCCGCCUCCUCAUCAGUCUCCCUGUGUAACUCCGCCUCCUCAGCCGCGGUUUGGCGCUCAGCUGCGUGUCUCCGUCGCGCGCUCUGUGCUGUGGACUCUCAGUGAGGAGUUAGCUUAGCUGCUAAAACACACAGCUCUACAGAAAAGUGGCUUUAGGACUCGAACACAGAAAAACCCCAACAAAAGCCGCUACUGUUGAUCAGAAGUUCAGCCCCCGGCUCAGCAGGACAUCUGGGAGAUGAGCUGCAGUGACCAGCAGCAAGACAGAGAAGAACAGUGGAGAGGGAGCUUCUGCUCCUGUGUAUGAUGAGGUCUCCACCCUGGCUGUGACCUCUGAGCCCUCAAGAGCUACAUCCUCAGAUGGUCAGGAUGAUGUUCAGUACUACACAGUUCAUUUCUCACGCUCUCAGAUGAGGAACGUUCCUCUCUACUCUACUGUCCAACAGUCAAACUCGCUUUGUGAAGAAGAGGACAUGCAGUACGCCGCAGUGAACACUGCUAAACCAGGAACUGCUUGCACAGUCCAGAAGAAUGUGAGAUGAAGAAAGCUCCCACCUCUCCAGCAGAUGCAUCAAGUGGUGAACAAAAUCUGGG